rnacentral:rRNA from 1 species
AUUGAACGCUGGCGGCAGGCCUAACACAUGCAAGUCGAGCGGAUGAAGGGAGCUUGCUCCUGGAUUCAGCGGCGGACGGGUGAGUAAUGCCUAGGAAUCUGCCUGGUAGUGGGGGAUAACGUCCGGAAACGGGCGCUAAUACCGCAUACGUCCUGAGGGAGAAAGUGGGGGAUCUUCGGACCUCACGCUAUCAGAUGAGCCUAGGUCGGAUUAGCUAGUUGGUGGGGUAAAGGCCUACCAAGGCGACGAUCCGUAACUGGUCUGAGAGGAUGAUCAGUCAACUUGAAACUGGGACACGUCCCAAAUCCCAAGGGGAGGAAGCAGUGGGGAAUUUUGGACAAUGGGGGAAAGCCUGAUCCAGCCAGGCCGGGGGUGUGAAGAAGUUUUUCGGAUUGUAAAGACCUUAAGUUGGGAGGAAGGGCAGUAAGUUAAUACCUUGCUGUUUUGACGUUACCAACAGAAUAAGCACCGGCUAACUUCGUG